UGAAAAUAAUGGGAAUUUGGCUAUUAGUUGUUAUAAGCAAACAAGUCAACUUCCCUCAAAAUGAGCUCGUAGAUAUUAAGGACGUUGUGAUAUUUUAGCAAUUUAGUGGUUCAAAACAAAGGUUGAAUGGAUUUUGAAGCUAGUGCGUCUUGGAAUUUUGAGAAAGAUGUUGGAAGGCCUAUUAUGGCCAUGAUAUAUGGUCAUGAUGGGUAAUUUAUAUAUUACGAGUAUAGUUUAUUCUUAUAGGAAAGUGUAUAGAUCUUUAUUGUACUUUUAUCAUGUGUUUUUAUGUAAACUUUGAUCAUGUUUAAGAGAUUAUAAAGUAUGUAGAUAAGUUUGAUUUCCA